AGUGAACGCUGGCGGUAGGCCUAACACAUGCAAGUCGAACGGCAGCACAGUAAGAGCUUGCUCUUACGGGUGGCGAGUGGCGGACGGGUGAGGAAUACAUCGGAAUCUACUUUUUCGUGGGGGAUAACGUAGGGAAACUUACGCUAAUACCGCAUACGACCUACGGGUGAAAGCAGGGGAUCUUCGGACCUUGCGCGAUUGAAUGAGCCGAUGUCGGAUUAGCUAGUUGGCGGGGUAAAGGCCCACCAAGGCGACGAUCCGUAGCUGGUCUGAGAGGAUGAUCAGCCACACUGGACAUGAGACACAGUCCAGACUCCUACGGGAGGCAGCAGUGGGGAAUAUUGGACAAUGGGCGCAAGCCUGAUCCAGCCAUACCGCGUGGGUGAAGAAGGCCUUCGGGUUGUAAAGCCCUUUUGUUGGGAAAGAAAAGCAGCAGGUUAAUACCCCGCUGUUCUGACGGUACCCAAAGAAUAAGCACCGGCUAACUUCGUG
rnacentral:rRNA from 1 species